GUUGUAUGGUUAAGUGACUAAGCGUACAUGGUGGAUGCCUUGGCAGUCAGAGGCGAUGAAGGACGUACUAACCUGCGAUAAGCUGUGAGAAGUCGGUAAGAGACGCUAUUACUCACAGAUUUCCGAAUGGGGAAACCCACUUAGCAUAAGCUAGGUAUCGUUACAUGAAUACAUAGUGUAACGAGGCGAACCGGGAGAACUGAAACAUCUAAGUACCCCGAGGAAAAGAAAUCAACCGAGAUUCCCUUAGUAGCGGCGAGCGAACGGGGAUUAGCCCUUAAGUUUCUUGGAAGUUAGUGGAAUGGUCCUGGAAAGGCCAGCGAUACAGGGUGAUAGCCCCGUACAUGAAAACGACCUUGAAGUGAAAUCGAGUAGGGCGGGACACGUGACAUCCUGUCUGAAUAUGGGGGGACCAUCCUCCAAGGCUAAA
rnacentral:rRNA from 1 species